rnacentral:rRNA from 1 species
AUGCUAGUCGAGCGCCUUGAGCUAUGGCAGGGCGCGGCGUACAGCUCAGUAACACGUAGUUAACCUACCCUCGGGACGGGGACAACCCCGGGAAACUGGGGCUAAUACCCAAUGGGUGAGGAGGCCUGGAAUGGUUCUUCACCGAAAGGAUGUUGAAACACGCUUUCAACCUUGCCCGAGGAUGGGACUGCGUCCGAUCAGGUUGUUGGUGGGGUAACGGCUCACCAAGCCUAUAACCGGUACGGGCCGUGAGAGCGGGAGCCCGGAGAUGGAAUCUGAGACAAAAUUCUAGGCCCUACGGGGCGCAGCAGUCGCGAAAACUCCACAAUGCACGAAAGUGUGAUGGGGCUACCCCGAGUGCCGUCCGCUGAGGAUGGCUUUUCUUCAGUGUAAUAAGCUGGAGGCAAUAAAGGGAGGGCAAGAAUGGUGUCAGCCGCCGCGGUAAAACCAACUCCCUGAGUGGUGGGGAUGAUUAUCGGGCUUAAAGCGUCCGUAGCUGGCUUGGUUAGUUCCGCGUUAAAUCCAGCGACCUAAUCGUUGGGAUGCGGGGGAUACGGUCAGGCUAGGAGGCGGGAGAGGUUAGCGGUACUCCAGGGGUAGGGGUGAAAUCCAGUAAUCCCUGGGGGACCACCAGUGGCGAAGGCUGCUAACCAGAACGCGCUCGACGGUGAGGGACGAAAGCUGGGGGAGCGAACCGGAUUAGAUACCCGGGUAGUCCCAGCUGUAAACGAUGCGGGCUAGCUGUUGGGAUGGCUACGAGCCAUUUCAGUGGCGCAGGGAAACCGUUAAGCCCGCCGCCUGGGAAGUACGAUCGCAAGAUUGAAACUUAAAGGAAUUGGCGGGGGAGCACCACAAGGCGUGAAGCUUGCGGUUCAAUUGGAGUCAACGCCGGAAAUCUUACCGGGGCUGACAGCAGAGUGAAAGCCAGAUUAAAGGUCUUGCUGGACAAGCUGAGAGGUAGUGCAUGGCCGUCGCCAGUUCGUGCCGUGAGGUGUCCUGUUAAGUCAGGCAACGAGCGAGACCCGCACCCUUAGUUGCCACCGGAUCCCAGUGGGAUCUGGGCACCCUAAGGGGACUGCCGCCGAUAAGGCGGAGGAAGGAGCGGGCCACGGCAGGUCAGUAUGCUCCGAAUCUCCCGGGCUACACGCGGGCUACAAUGGCCAGGACAAUGGGUCCCUUCCCCGAAAGGGGUUGGUAAUCUCACAAACCUGUCCGUAGUUCGGAUCGAGGGCUGUAACUCGCCCUCGUGAAGCUGGCAUCCGUAGUAAUCGCGUUUCAAGAUAGCGCGGUGAAUACGUCCCUGCUCCUUGCACACACCGCCCGUCAAACCACCCGAGUGAGGUAUGGGUGAGGGCACAGACGUCGUGC